UACAGAGGGUGCGAGCGUUGUUCGGAAUCAUUGGGCGUAAAGCGCUUGUAGGCGGCUUGUUAAGUCGCGUGUGAAAUCCCUUGGCUCAACCAAGGAAGUGCGCGCGAAACUGGCGAGCUUGAAUGCCGGAGAGGGUCGCGGAAUUCCCGGUGUAGAGGUGAAAUUCGUAGAUAUCGGGAGGAACACCAGUGGCGAAGGCGGCGACCUGGACGGACAUUGACGCUGAGACGCGAAAGCGUGGGGAGCAAACAGG
rnacentral:rRNA from 1 species